GACAGAGGGUGCAAACGUUGCUCGGAAUCACUGGGCGUAAAGGGCGUGUAGGCGGGAAGGAAAGUCGGGCGUGAAAUCCCUGGGCUCAACCCAGGAACUGCACUCGAAACUUCUUUUCUUGAGUGCCGGAGAGGAAAGCGGAAUACCUGGUGUAGAGGUGAAAUUCGUAGAUAUCAGGUGGAACACCAGUGGCGAAGGCGGCUUUCUGGGACGG
rnacentral:rRNA from 1 species